rnacentral:rRNA from 1 species
UACGGGGGGUGCGAGCGUUGUCCGGAAUCACUGGGCGUAAAGGGCGCGUAGGUGGCCUGAUAAGGGUGUGGUGAAAGUCCGGGGCUCAACCCCGGAUCUGCCGUGCCGACUGUGAGGCUAGAGUACUGUAGGGGCAGGCGGAAUUCCGGGUGUAGCGGUGGAAUGCGUAGAGAUCCGGAAGAACACCUGAGGCGAAGGCGGCUUGCUGGGCCUGAUCUGACGCUGAGGCGCGAAAGCGUGGGGAGCAAACAGG